AAUAUUGCACAAUGGGCGUCAAGCCUGAUGCAGCCAUGCCGCGUGUAUGAAGAAGGCCUUCGGGUUGUAAAGUACUUUCAGCAGUGAGGAAGGCGGAGUCGUUAAUAGCGGCCUCGUUUGACGUUAGCUGCAGAAGAAGCACCGGCUAACUCCGUGCCAGCAGCCGCGGUAAUACGGAGGGUGCGAGCGUUAAUCGGAAUUACUGGGCGUAAAGCGUCAUGCAGGUGGUUUGUUAAGUCAGAUGUGAAAGCCCGGGGCUCAACCUCGGAAUUGCAUUUGAAACUGGCAGGCUAGAGUCUUGUAGAGGGGGUAGAAUUUCAGGUGUAGCGGUGAAAAUGCGUAGAGAUCUGAAGGAAUACCAGUGGCGAAGGCGGCCCCCUGGACAAAGACUGACGCUCAGAUGCGAAAGCGUGGGGAGCAAACAGGAUUAGAUACCCUGGUAG
rnacentral:rRNA from 1 species